AAGAAAGUAAUUUAAGUUAAAAUAUUUUGUUUCAAACAUAACUAUAGGUAAUCAUUAUCUCUUUCUUGC
rnacentral:tRNA from 1 species